AAAUAAACGUCACUAUAUUUGUUCCCAGAAUUGCAACUUGCAGGUGGGAAAAACUGCACCGACCGGAAUACUUGGUUGAUGUACAAAGCGGGAACAUAUAUUUAGCGCAGAAUUGGAGAGACUAACAACUGCUGAAAUUAGAUUGUUAGAGGUAACUGUCACUAAACUCUAUGUCCGACUGGCUGCAUCUAGACGACCUGGUGUACACCGAAACUCCACCGCCGAAGGCGGAAUCCGAAGUACCUGCGUCAGUAAUAAAAUCCGCCACUAUCAGC